rfam:Hymenolepis nana genome assembly, scaffold: HNAJ_scaffold0001779
AGGGUGCGAGAUAGACUUGCCUCCACGUGGUGCACCCUGGACAACGUAUCUUUGUACGGCAAAAAAGUCUAU